CAGUUGACAGGCGCCGGCGUAAAGAGUGGUUAAGGGAAAACACCAAACUAAAGCCGAACACCUUCAGAGCUGUCAUACGUUUCCGAAGGCAUGAAGUCCCACCACGAAAGUGGCUUUACCCCUCCCGACUCCACGAAAGCUGCGGAACAAACUGGGAUUAGAGACCCCACUAUGCCCAGCCCUAAACUUUGAUGGCAUUUUACCCCGCCAUCCGCCAGGGAACUACGAGCACUAGCUUAAAACCCAAAGGACUUGGCGGUGCUUUAGACCCCCCUAGAGGAGCCUGUUCUAGAACCGAUAAUCCCCGUUAAACCUCACCCUCUCUUGUCAUCCCCGCCUAUAUACCGCCGUCGUCAGCUUACCCUGUGAAGGCACCAUAGUAAGCAAAACUAGUAAAACCCAAAACGCCAGGUCGAGGUGUAGCAUAUGAGAGGGAAAGAAAUGGGCUACAUUCCCUAAUUCUAGGGAACACGGACAAUGUAAUGAAAAAGACAUUAGAAGGAGGAUUUAGCAGUAAGCAAAAAAUAGAGUGUUUUGCUGAAACUGGCCCUGAAGCGCGCACACACCGCCCGUCACUCUCCCCAAACCAACUUUAAAAAAUACAUAAUACAUUUUUAGGAAAAAGGGGAGGCAAGUCGUAACAUGGUAAGUGUACCGGAAG
rnacentral:rRNA from 1 species